rnacentral:misc_RNA from 1 species
UUAAUUUUUUAAUAAUUUUGCGCUCCUUUCAAUGAAGGGAGCACUUUUUUGUGCUUUAAGCGAUGGGGUGAUGCAUCGCUUUGAGUGCCACUUGUGCUUUUAACUACCUUGAUGCCCAGUUGGGUGAAUGUGAUAUCCCAACUUCCCAAUGGGAUUAACCCAAAUUGACUAAUGAAAAGGUAACAGCAUUUAACUACAAAUUAACCAUCCCCUUCAUCCCAGCAAGUCCAUAAUAGUCCAUAGCAAAAGUAUGUCCAUGAUGGUCCAUAGAAAGAGUAUAUCAUAUGAAUUAUAAUAUUUCAUCAACUACUGGGCCACAUGGCUACUAAUUGCAAGUUUAAGAGAAUUUCUUGCCUCAGAAGCAAGAUUGCCAACAU